rnacentral:lncRNA from 1 species
AUGCUGUCUGGUCCUCUGGCAGUCUCUAUGGGGGUGCCACAGGGUUCAAUUCUCGGGCCGACUCUUUUCUCUGUGUAUAUCAAUGAUGUUGCUCUUGCUGCGGGCGAUUCCCUGAUCCACCUCUACGCAGACGACACCAUUCUAUAUACCUUCGGCCCGUCUUUGGACACUGUGCUAUCUAACCUCCAAACAAGCUUCAAUGCCAUACAACACUCCUUCCGUGGCCUCCAACUGCUCUUAAACGCUAGUAAAACCAAAUGCAUGCUUUUCAACCGGUCGCUGCCUGCACCUGCAUGCCCGACUAGCAUCACCACCCUGGAUGGUUCCGACCUAGAAUAUGUGGACGUCUAUAAGUACCUAGGUGUCUGGCUAGACUGCAAACUCUCCUUCCAGACUCAUAUCAAACAUCUCCAAUCGAAAAUCAAAUCAAGAGUCGGCUUUCUAUUCCGCAACAAAGCCUCCUUCACUCACGCCGCCAAGCUUACCCUAGUAAAACUGACUAUCCUACCGAUCCUCGACUUCGGCGAUGUCAUCUACAAAAUGGCUUCCAACACUCUACUCAGCAAACUGGAUGCAGUCUAUCACAGUGCCAUCCGUUUCGUCACUAAAGCACCUUAUACCACCCACCACUGCGACUUGUAUGCUCUAGUCGGCUGGCCCUCGCUACAUAUUCGUCGCCAGACCCACUGGCUCCAGGUCAUCUACAAGUCCAUGCUAGGUAAAGCUCCGCCUUAUCUCAGCUCACUGGUCACGAUGGCAACACCCAUCCGUAGCACGCGCUCCAGCAGGUGUAUCUCACUGAUCAUCCCUAAAGCCAACACCUCAUUUGGCCGCCUUUCGUUCCAGUACUCUGCUGCCUUUGACUGGAACGAAUUGCAACAGAUCGCUGCAGCUGUACAUAGUCUAUUGGUAAAUAGCCCACCCUUUCUCACCUACCUCAUCCCCAUACUGUUUUUAUUUAUUUACUUUUCUGCUCUUUUGCACACCAAUAUCUCUACCUGUACAUGA